GGGAAUUUUGGACAAUGGGCGCAAGCCUGAUCCAGCAAUGCCGCGUGCAGGAUGAAGGCCUUCGGGUUUUAAACUGCUUUUGUACGGAACGAAAAAGCUCUCUCUAAUACAGGGGGUGAAUGACGGUACCGUAAGAAUAAGCACCGGCUAACUACGUGCCAGCAGCCGCGGUAAUACGUAGGGUGCAAGCGUUAAUCGGAAUUACUGGGCGUAAAGCGUGCGCAGGCGGUUUUGUAAGACAGAGGUGAAAUCCCCGGGCUCAACCUGGGAACUGCCUUUGUGACUGCAAAGCUGGAGUGCGGCAGAGGAGGAUGGAAUUCCGCGUGUAGCAGUGAAAUGCGUAGAUAUGCGGAGGAACACCGAUGGCGAAGGCAAUCCCCUGGGCCUGCACUGACGCUCAUGCACGAAAGCGUGGGGAGCAAACA
rnacentral:rRNA from 1 species